CUCAUCAUUCAGCUCCAUCCUUCAUAUCAUGACUAGCUCAGGGGAUUUUUUAUUUUUCCUUCCUCUCUACCAAGUGCUGUUCUUCAGUUCCAGGAGGCAAUUGGUGGUAGGAUUUGCAGACAGUGCUACUAAGCGUGGCUGACAUCUCCCAUGAUCAGAAAGGUAGAAAAAUAUGGGAGCUGCUGUUGUAGAGCUGUUCAUGGUGUACAGGCUAUGGGGAUAAGGUGUGAUCCCAAUCCUUUCUUGAUGCUUUCAGCUGGUAAUUAUCACUGGAAAGUAAUGAGUGUAUGAGCAAGGGUGAUUAGAAAAGAUCACCCCAUCCCUUAUUUCACCCAGGAAACAGCAUCUCAGAUGACUGCCAGCUGACAGACCUCAUAAACAUGAUGGAGGUGACCUUGGAUUUAUUACAGGUUAACACUCUCACUUCCCAGAAAUCCUGUGGUGGAUAUUACAGACAGUGCUCAGGCAUUGACCCACAAACAGCCAACAUCCAAUUCCUUAUUCUGUCCAUGAACCAGAAUUGCUGGAUUUCACCUGUAUGGGGAAGAUGACAGCAAUAGUAGAGCAAGUGAUGCCAAAAGCUUGACAGUCCUUCAUGAGCUUAAGAAAGGUUUCUGUUUGGAAGAAAACUUUGGAAUUGUGAAGUGCACAAAACUAACUCUGGAUUUAAACCAGCUAAGUCCAGAACUGAGCCUUGUUCUCUGUGUGAAUGCACCAGCCUGCUUGGAAAUAGUGUGUGAAUCUCUAAUUCAGAGCUCACAGAUCAGUCAUACAAACACCUUGUCUGAGGAUAUUUAAGAAGGACUUUUUCAAGAGAAAGAGGAUAUGGAGAAAGAAAAUGACAGACUAAUCAGGGCUGUGAGGAAAGCAAACUUGAAUGGAGAGAUUAGUAGAAUCAAAGCUCUUCUUGACCUUUUUCCCAGUUUGCUUUGACACUGAAGAGCUUUCAAAGAGAUUUAUCUUAAGACAGUAGCAAACAAAAAUCUAUGAAGAAACUCCCAAGUGGCAAACUGAGUUCCUGACCUAUGUCUGGUGUCUUUGCUGUCUUACACAUUCCAGUUGUCUGUGUGACCCUAGUGCCAUACAAGGUUUCAUAGAAAUUACAGAGCAGAGCAUUUUAACAGGAGACA